rnacentral:tRNA from 1 species
UGAGGGAUCGUUCAACGGCAGGACAAUGGACUCUGACUCCAUUAAUUCAGGUUCGAAUCCUGAUCCCUCAG